CUGAACUUUCCUCACAGAGAUGCAUUGAUUCAAUGCAUUUAUAUGAGGAAAUGCUGAUUGGCCAGGGCUGUGUUUGGUUUGUGCUGGCUCUGCCCCUGAUCUGCCUCCUUGACACUCAGCCCAUCCAUUGCUUUCCUAUAUAAUAGCAUUGUGAUUGGCUCAAAUCAACACUUCAACAAAAUGAUCAGGGGCAGAGCCAUCCAGCUGCAGACUGGAAUAAAG